CCAGUAUAUUGAUUGUCCUCUACAUCUUUAAUGGAUGAUAUCAGUUUUUUUGUGUAACUAGUUUUAGUGCUAGCAUGGAAUAAAUCUGCUUUUUGUAUGCCAAUAGUAUUCCUCGUCUCUAUAAGCUUUACUUAGUUCAUCCUGUAGUCGAGGAAUGUGCCUUCGAAGGGAUCUAUUUGUGCUUUCCAUAGCUCUGUUAAGCUCCUUCUGGUUUAUGAUCCGAGCCAUUGAAUUCAAGGAACUUAGCUUCUGCAUUGGGAAAGAGUGAUGCCCAUUCAGAGUUGAUCAUUACCCUAUCCAAACAACAUUUAUUGUGUAAGUGCGUCUCUCUCCAACCCAGGAAAACCUAUCACAUUUUGAUUUUAAAUCUGUUAAAUCACAACUAGCUAUCAUAUGAUUAAAUCUUCUGAAAGUUCAUGCUUUUCUUGAAAGGCCACCAACCUUCUCUAAGUUACUUGUAAUUUCAUUGAAAUCACCUGCAAUCAUCCAUGGACCGAUACGAGUAGACCCUAAUUGUUCUAGAUAAUCCCAAAAGAAAUGUCGUAGACUUGGGUUUGGGUUGCCAUAAGUUAUGCUUAUUUUGUUUGUUGGAUUCAACUACACUAUACUUCUUCUUCUGCUUUCUCUCUCUCUCUCUCUCUCUCGGCUUCGUCUCUUCUUGGUGAGACUGAGAGGUGAGAAGAUUGUUCUCUUCUGAUGUUUCCUCUUCCAUUUGGUGCCUUUUGAGUCAGUAGAACCAAAAAUUCAUCAAACUGUGUUAUAAAUUAUUGAAAUUUGUUUUCUUUGCUGUCUUUCUUGUACAUUAGUGAGCAUUGUCUCAUCUCUUCCUUUGGGGCUUUUGUAGAGACUUCACUUCAUGACCUUUUGCGAAUCAUGCUUUGCUUUGGUUGGCUGUUUUACUCGUCCUUUUUGCAAUGGUAUGAUUAAUGUCUUUGUCUUCUUGUUUCAAGGUUCCAUUUUUCAGACUCUGUCUUUGGCUUUCAACUCUGUAGCAGCUUUCAUUUACAGAUCUAAACCCUAUCAGUCGUGUGCUAUGGUUUAUCUCUCACUUCCCUUUUCCAGAUUCCAACCAAUUUCAUACGUACAGAGAGAUGAGUACUGGCGACAAGCGGUUCAAUGGCGGAGACGAUUUCCCGCAGGAAGAAAAGGAGAAAUGUUGGGAGAACGCAAAAGGUUGUCCCUGGAAUGAACAAAGAUAGAUGGCGCCAGGAUGUAAGCACAAGGGUUGAAGCCGGAUACAUUUACGCAACAAGAGAUAUGGAGCUUGUUGAAUCAGGUCUCUACAAUGACAUGUAGUUUGAAUAGGCUUUUCUGUGGUUAGGCUUAGAUUCAAUGAGGUUUAGUCUUAGAUGUAUCUUGUAGACAAACCCCUAGGUUGUUUUUCUGUGGUUAGGCUUAGAUUCAAUACUAGAUUGAUCAUGUUCCAGGCUUAUAUAUAUGACACAGUUUCUUUUUACAUAUGAGUUGUUUCUAGAUUGAUUUAUG